UUUUAUUCUUAGAACUCUAUAAAUAGGACCUAGCACCAAGCAUUUUUCAUUCAUUCAUCAAGCUAAGUUCAGAGGCUGCAAGUUGCUAGGUUAUUGUGAGAGUGUAAACACUUGGGUUGGGGAUUAUAAGCUUAAUCAUUUUUAAGCUUACCAAACACUUGGGAAGUAAGGUUUAUAAUACAUUUCGGUUCAAGGUUUAGAUUGGUCAUAAAGCAUUCAAGGAAAUCUAAGUUCUUGAGCAUAAGGUUUUUGGAGUGUUCCAAGGUCCCAAAUCAGUUCUCAUAUCCCGAUUAUUUUGGAAAAUAGCUAUAGUGGCGGGAAAGGUUCUUGGAUGCUUGGGAAUGUGUAUUGAGGCGGAAUGGAUUCAAAGAGCCGAGAGUUUCGAUUUGAGGAUGAAGUCUUUAUUAUGGUUUUAUGUGUAUUUUUCCGCACUUAUGUAAUCUCUUUUUAUUACAAUUAAGUUAUGUUUUUCCUUUUUAAAACAAUGGGAUCCCAUAUCCUAACUUAAAUUUUAUGUAAGUUUGACCUUUGUUUUUACAAGUUUUAAUAAAGUUAUGAUCUUUUCAUU